rnacentral:piRNA from 1 species
UUGUCUAUGACAUUCCUCCAU